rnacentral:rRNA from 1 species
UACGUAGGGGGGCAAGCGUUGUCCGGAAUCAUUGGGCGUAAAGCGCGUGUAGGCGGUUCGGUAAGUCGGCUGUGAAAGUCCAGGGCUCAACCCUGGGAUGCCGGUCGAUACUGCCGGACUAGAGUUCGGAAGAGGCGAGUGGAAUUCCCGGUGUAGCGGUGAAUGCGCAGAUAUCGGGAGGAACACCAAUGGCGAAGGCAGCUCGCUGGGACGUUACUGACGCUGAGACGCGAAAGCGUGGGGAGCAAACAGG